GAGGAACACGCGGCGCUGAAAACAGGACAGUACGUCCCCGAGACUGACAGACCCGAGCAGGCCCCAGCAGCGAGCCUGCGGUCAGCAGGAGAUGGAAGGCUACGUUUUCUUCAGGAGGGUUAAAUGAAGCUACUUGUCCAGCGGGUGCUCUCAGGACUGCGUGCUUCGAAAUCCGUCGAGUUCAAAAACCUGCUCGACUGAAGAAAAACAGGAGAGGCUUCAUCUUCCAAAAGAGGGGUGCCUUCAUCAAGUCACAAACACAGCACCGGGAGAACUCUCUGCGCUGGGGCUUGGUUUAAUUCUGAGUGACUGGUAAUUACCACCUGCAUUAACCUAGCCCUGCCAUUGGCUGCCCAGGGCCCUCAGGGGCGGGCCCUCGAUCCUGCAGAUGGCCCAAGGGACUUGCUAGAGACACACAGGGUCUCAACGGUGUACCCAUCGACAUGGCAACAAGACAGCAGGAAGGACUCCUGGUUAUGACCUCCCCAGAAAUGAAGAGCUGCUAAGUUAAGCAAGAGGUGGAAAAAAACAGGCUCCCAGUACAGGUCUCAUGGGUCUACGAAAAUACUUUUUUUUUCCAGCUUACCUGGAAACUUGAGUUUUGUUUACCAGGUGAGCCAGGCUGAAAGCAAGCUUUUCCAUAACUUGCAGCAGAACCUGGGCCACAAAAACCCUGAAGGACCAGGGACUAUGAGAGUCUCUGUGAAGCUGAACUGCCUAAGCGUGACCUCACGUCUGACCACUGUCCAAGACAGAGGCAGCAAAUCCUACACUGCAGUCGGUCUACUUUUUGCAAUGCCUUCAAGACACCCUGAGAUCAAUCCUGAAGGAUUAGGUCUAUUCCCUUAUAUCCCUGUGUGCAUACUGUAAUUAUGAUUUUGUAAGAGGCCAGCCUGCUCCAUUCCACAAGUUCAUCCUCAACAAAAGCAUCCAUCAUAUAUCAGAUUUGCUGAACCUUCUGCUGUACUAGAAUUGCCCACUCAGGAGUCAGAAGGAUCUUUUCGGUUCCCAGGGCACCCAGCUUCUCCAUUUUCCCUGACUUCUCUUAAAUUGCAGGCUAUCUGCACCAUGUGAAACCACACUGUCUCUCAGUUAGA